UGCAGAGGAAGCUCAUCAGUGGGGCAAUUGCUGAGUGCUCAUCACUCCCAGACCCCUGGGAAGGUCUGAGAUUGGGGCCUCCUGUGUCCCUAACCAGGGGCCCUUCCCAAGCGGGAGCUGAGUGGUGCCAAUUGAAGGCAAGGAUGUAACUGCAUCACUAGACCCAAGCUAAAUGAUAAAUGUGUGUUCAUUGGGAAACAAUUACACAGAAAUAUACCAAGAAGUACCAGAGCAUUCCUCUGUUCUCCCUAUCAGAUCUGCUGACCCAGAAAGAGCAUGCCAAGGAAAGCCAUGACUCAAGCUCCUCUCUGCUUCC
ensembl:ribozyme RNaseP_nuc Nuclear RNase P